rnacentral:sRNA from 1 species
CUCACACGGCUGCAGCCGGUGCCGCUGCCACUCCCGGGAGCAUGAAGGACCGAACCCAGGAGCUCCGCACGGCCAAGGACAGCGAUGAUGAUGACGAUGUCGCUGUCACCGUGGACCGAGACCGCUUCAUGGAUGAGUUCUUUGAGCAGGUGGAGGAGAUUCGAGGCUUCAUUGACAAGAUCGCAGAGAACGUGGAGGAGGUGAAGCGGAAGCACAGUGCCAUCCUGGCGUCCCCCAACCCCGAUGAGAAGACGAAGGAGGAGCUGGAAGAACUCAUGUCCGACAUAAAGAAGACAGCAAACAAAGUUCGUUCCAAGUUAAAGAGCAUCGAGCAGUCCAUCGAGCAAGAGGAAGGCCUGAACCGCUCCUCCGCUGACCUGAGGAUCCGGAAGACACAGGUGCGGCCACGGAGUCUAGGGUGGGCGGGCACCUGAGUCUCUGGGUCGGUCCCCGCGGGGCCUCACCCCUGCACCUCCAUCUCGGGCCCCCAGCACUCCACGCUGUCCAGAAAGUUUGUGGAGGUCAUGUCGGAGUACAACGCCACGCAGUCCGACUACCGCGAGCGCUG